CGGCGGCGGCGGCGGCGGCGGCGGCGGCGGCUGGAGGCCUCCGCCGCCCUCUCGCCGUCGUCGGCCGAAUAUUAUCAUGAACCGAACGGAACGAUGCGAUGGGGACAGCAAGCAGCGGAGAGCAGGACUCGGCCUGCCUGCCUGCCUGCCUGCCUGUCUGUCUGCCUCUGUAUUUAAAAUGUGACUCGUCUAUCGCAAGAAACACAUACGAUGCUGCUGCUGGAACGCGACGAGCGAGCGAAACAACGAACGUACGUACUGCGACUGCGCGCGCGCGGAACGAGAGAAAAGAGGAUGGAUAGAGCGGUGUGUUAGAGCGGGACAAAACUUACGGUGCGAAACGACGCGUCAUGGCAAUACCGUAAGGAGAGCCUCUCUGUAGCUAGAUGUUUUCUCGUACGAACACUUGAAACUUUUCACUAGCAUGCAUCUGAAAAAAAUUAGUUUCGCGAAAAAUUAUUCAACAUAUUAGAGAAUUUAACGCGUCACCGACAUCUCCUAUAGUGCCCCCGUGCGUCUGUGAUGUAUAUGUCACUGUAUGAAUCACGAUUCGAACGCUGCACGCGUUUAUUUUCAACAUUGCCAACCGGACCGACCGAGGGUCGUGUUUAAAUGUUGUUUUUCUCCAUUUAUACGGUUAUGAUCGAUAUUUUUUCAUGGACAAAUUGAAAGCGAACAUCCCAACGACCAUACGCAUCGAUGAAUCGUCAAUAUUGGUAUCGCUUCGGACCGUAUUUAUCGCAAUAGACUCGGGGGUCGUAAAACAUGAACGGCGGCCUCUCCUGUGUCGUUUGUUAGGGCAGGCGAUC